rnacentral:rRNA from 1 species
UACGUAGGGACCGAGCGUUGUCCGGAUUCAUUGGGCGUAAAGAGCUCGUAGGCGGCCACUCAAGUCGAAUGUGAAACCUCGAGGCUUAACCUCGAGCCUGCAUUCGAUACUGGGCGGCUAGAGUCUGGUAGGGGGAUCUGGAAUUCCUGGUGUAGCGGUGGAAUGCGCAGAUAUCAGGAGGAACACCAAUGGCGAAGGCAGCUCGCUGGGACGUGACUGACGCUGAGACGCGAAAGCGUGGGGAGCAAACAGG